UUUUGAAUAACGAAAGAAAAACCUUACGUUGGAGAUGUUGAAUGAUUCCCUGGACUACCAGAGAAUGUUUUCUAAUUGAAAUUAACUACAAGACAGGUAGUCAGAUUCAAAGAGCAUUCAUGUAUUAAAGCUUUGAUAUAAAUUAAAAUGGAUGAAAACAGUGUUAGGAAAAUUGCACACUGAAAUAUAGAUUGCAUGAAAGAGGAUUUAAUGGAUUGCAGAACAGAAAUUAAAAUUGCAGAAUAAAUAUAACUUUCUACCCGAAUAAACUCUCAAAAA
rnacentral:lncRNA from 1 species